AACGAACGCUGGCGGCAUGCCUAACACAUGCAAGUCGAACGAUUGCCUUCGGGUGAUAGUGGCGCACGGGUGCGUAACGCGUGGGAAUCUGCCCUUAGGUUCGGAAUAACAGCUGGAAACGGCUGCUAAUACCGGAUGAUAUCGCGAGAUCAAAGAUUUAUCGCCUGAGGAUGAGCCCGCGUUGGAUUAGGUAGUUGGUGGGGUAAAGGCCUACCAAGCCGACGAUCCAUAGCUGGUCUGAGAGGAUGAUCAGCCACACUGGGACUGAGACACGGCCCAGACUCCUACGGGAGGCAGCAGUGGGGAAUAUUGGUCAAUGGGCGCAAGCCUGAUCCAGCAAUGCCGCGUGAGUGAUGAAGGCCCUAGGGUUGUAAAGCUCUUUUACCCGGGAAGAUAAUGACUGUACCGGGAGAAUAAGCCCCGGCUAACUCCGUG
rnacentral:rRNA from 1 species